GGGAUUUUCAUGUUUACACUUUAGGACAGCAGAAGGACUGCCUGUCCUGAAAUUUGCAUUUCCAAGUUCACCAAGGUGUGGUUGUAUGGGGGUCACCACAUCAGGACAAUGGCAUGCAUCUCACUUCCAUCAAAUAAUGAGCUUUCUUUUGUAUAAUUAAAAAAAUCAGCAAAAUUAUAUUUUGCAUGCAUAUUAUUUGUUAUAUAGUGAACACCGCUGUAAAAAAAUCCAUAUUUAUAUUUGGUAUUCAUUUUUUAAAAAUGACCUUAUAUGGAGUAUGGGCAAUUUAAGGGAUAUUCAAGAGUAAUUUCGCCUAUACCUGAUUACUCCCAUAGGGUCCAACUUUAGAUCCUAACAUCUGCAUAAGCUACAACCCUUCUGCCACCCAAAUUUCACUGGCUUUUGCUCUCACUUUAUAUCCUAGGACCCCUUUCAACUUCCCCAGGUAUUUCUGGGAGAGCCCAGAGAUGUCACACAUGAACUCUCACGGCCUAUGAAUGAAGAACCUUCUGCUGGAGUGAGGGGCUGCGGAGGGAGGGAGGACGAAAAAUGAGGAUGGGAACGCGACCUAUACCUGCAACCUCUAAGAAGUUGUGAACAGUUGUGCCAAGGGGGCGGUGUCCCCUCCCACUGCGCAUCUUCCGCUGCGCAGGUGCUACUGCGCAUCUUCUAGUGCGCAUGUGCCACGGACGCUUUCUGAGCCCGCGUUUUCCAGAGCCCGCGUUUUCCAGAGCCCGCGUUCCCGUGAACCCAAGUCUAGCUUCAGGCCGGGGUCUCUUCCUAGGCCUCCUACCUGAGUCUGUGAUGCAGGUUUGAGCAUCAGUAUCUGAGACUGACACCAUCUGUCCGCGAUUCUAAGACGCCUCCAGCCCUCACAAGAGCAGCUCUCCUCUGCAAGCUGCCUGAGAAAAAAAGGAAGGAAAAAACCUGAAACCAAGAACUCAUCCAGCCGCCAGUACCUACCAUCAUCCCCAAACAGAAGUUUUUCAGGGCUCAGGUCUGGCUGCCCUGCAUUCCAGGCUUUUCCAGGCUUUUCCCACCUGGCUUCCCCACCCCAGGCGAUGCUGAUUGGGGAAAGACCAUGGCCUUCGAUGAUUGCAGACUUCGCCGUCACAGCCCAGAGGAAAGAAGUUUCCUUUUGUCAGCAUCUAUAUACACAGGUCUCUGGGGGAAUCUCAUUUGCUUUUCUUGGUGUGCAUGCCCAGACCUUGGACCCGUGGCCAUGACCAGGGUUGAUGGUUACGGUGAUUGACAGGUCCAGUGUAAUUACAGGCACUUGGGGACCCAGCAGCUCCCCAAAGAGAUGGGAGGCAUUUUACCACUCACUCAUCCAUGUACUCAUUGAAUGCUGACCACUUGUCUGCUCUGGGCCAGGCCCUCUUCUGAGUCUUGGAGUUACAGUGGUGGCAAGAAAUAAGAGUUCUCUGCCCUCAUGGAGGUUCCAUCCUGCUGAUAGUAAGGAGGAGUCACGCAGCGUCCAAAUAAUGAAAGACAACAUUGGCUGUGCUAAGUUCUGUAUUUAGCAUAAAGUAAGGCGAUACUGGGAGGGUGGCCCGGGAGUGGUCAGAAAAGGCAUCUCUGAGUAGGGCGCCUGGAAGCUGAGACCGACAUGCCAAGAAAAAGCCACCAUUCAUAGAUCUGUAGGAAGAGCAUUCUGGGCGGAUAGAGCAGCUGACUCUGUGUGUUAGAGAACAAGAGAGGCGGGAAGUGUGGCUGGAGCUCACUAAGUGAGGGAGAAGGGUAGAUGCAUCCAGGUUGGAUGGAGAGAUGGCCAGGGAGGGGUCACUGCUGAUCUUGAGAAGCAGAUGUGGUCCAAAGAUGUUUCUGGCUGCUGUGAAGGGAGGCAGGAGUGAAGACGGGAGAGGAGGCGGGAGGCUGCUACAGGUGAGGGAUGGGGUCCAGAUGGGGUUGGAAGGGGGGCAGGCAGGACCGGUGGAUGGACUGGGUGUGUGAGGGGGAAAUCAAGGAUAACACCGGGGGGUUAGGUUUUGAGCUGGGCGAACAGUGGUGUCCUUUAAGAAGAAGUGGGAGGGAGUUCCCCUCGUGACUCAGUGGUUAAUGAAUCCGACUAAGAACCAUGAGGUUGCGGGUUCGAUCCCUGGCCUUGCUCAGUGGGUUAAGGAUCCAGCAUUGCCGUGAGCUGUGGUGUAGGUCACAGACAUGGCUCGGAUCCCACGUUGCUAUGGCCCUGGCGUAGGCCGGUGGCUAUGGCUCCGAUUCAACCCCUAGCCGGGGAACCUCUGUAUGCCGCAGGAGCAGCCCAAGAAAUGGAAAAAGGCAAAAAAAAAAAAAAAAAAAAAAAAAGAAGAAGGGGGAGGCGUUCCCAUCGUGGCUCAGUGGUUAAGGAACCCAACUAGUAACCAUGAGGUUGGGGGUUUGAUUCCUGGCCUUGCUCACUGGGUUAGGGAUCCUGCAUUGCUGUGAGCUGUGGUGUAGAUCGCAAAUGCAACUCAGAUCCUGUGUUACUGUGGCUGUGGCAUAGGCCAGUGGCUACAGCUCUGAUACGACCCCUAGCCUGGGAACCUCCAUGUGCCACAGGUGUGGCCCUGAAAAGACAAAAGCUAGGAGUUCCCGUUGUGGCGCAGUGGUUAACAAAUCCGACUAGGAACCAUGAGGUUGUGGGUUCGUUCCCUGGCCUUGCUCAGUGGGUUAAGGAUCCAGCAUUGCCGUGAGCUGUGGUGUGGGUUGCAGACACAGCUCGGAUCCCAUGUUGCUGUGGCUCUGGCGUAGGCCGGUGGCUACGGCUCUGAUUCGACCCCUAGCCGGGGAACCUCUGUAUGCUGCAGGAGCAGCCCAAGAAAUGGCAAAAAGACCAAAAAAAAAAAAAAAAAAAAAAAAAAAAGGAGAAGGGGAGGAGUUCCCAUCGUGGCUCAGUGGUUAAGGAACCCGACUAGUAACCAUGAGGUUGGGGGUUUGAUUCCUGGCCUUGCUCACUGGGUUAAGGAUCCUGCAUUGCUGUGAGCUGUGGUGUAGAUCGCAAAUGCAACUCAGAUCCUGUGUUACUGUGGCUGUGGCAUAGGCCAGUGGCUACAGCUCUGAUACGACCCCUAGCCUGGGAACCUCCAUGUGCCACAGGUGUGGCCCUGAAAAGACAAAAGCUAGGAGUUCCCGUUGUGGCGCAGUGGUUAACAAAUCCGACUAGGAACCAUGAGGUUGUGGGUUUGUUCCCUGGCCUUGCUCAGUGGGUUAAGGAUCCAGCAUUGCCGUGAGCUGUGAUGUGGGUUGCAGACACAGCUCGGAUCCCACGUUGCUGUGGCUCUGGCAUAGGCUGGUGGCUACAGCUCCGAUUCGACCCCUAGCCUGGGAACCUCCAUAUGCCGCGGGAGCGGCUCAAGAAAUGGCAAAAAGACAAAAAAAAAAAAAAAAGUAAAAAGCCCAAAAAUAAUAAAAAGAAAAAGAAAGGGGAGAUUGGAGGGGAG
ensembl:lncRNA